GACGAACGCUGGCGGCGUGCCUAAUACAUGCAAGUAGAACGCAGUUGCGAACGGGUGAGUAACGCGUAGGUAACUGCCUGGUAGCGGGGGAUAACUAUUGGAAACGAUAGCUAAUACCGCGUACUACCAGAUGGACCUGCGUUGUAUUAAGUAGUUGGUGAGGUAACGGCGCACCAAGGCAACGAUACAUAGCCGACAUGAGACGGUGGGUGGCCACACUGUGACUGAGAACCGGCCCAGACUGCUACGGGAGGCAGCCGUAGGGAAUCUGCGGCAAUGGGGGGAACCCUGACCGAGCAACGCCGCGGGAGUGAAGAAGGUUUUCGGAUCGGAAAGCUCUGUUGUUAAGGAAGCGGUACUUAACCAGAAAGGGACGGCUAACUACGUGCCAGCAGCCGCGGUAAUUC
rnacentral:rRNA from 1 species